rnacentral:misc_RNA from 1 species
AACCUAGCACACCUGCGGUGUGUACCUGCGGAGGGAUCAUUAUAGAGUUUUCUAAACUCCCAAACCCAUGUGAACUUACCAUUGUUGCCUCGGCAGAACCUACCCGGUACCUACCCUGGAACGAGCUACCCUGUAGCUACCCAGGAACGGGCUACCCUGUAACGUCCUGCCGGUGGACUUCUAAACUCUUGUUAUUUAUAGUAAUCUGAGCGUCUUAUUUUAAUAAGUCAAAACUUUCAA